GGCGGGUAGCUCAGAUGGCUAGAGCGUUCGGUUCAUACCCGAGAGGUCCGGGGGUUCGAUCCCCUUCGCCGCUA
rnacentral:tRNA from 1 species